ACUUUAUGUUAGUUCGUGCUAUUUAUUGGUGCUUUCUUUCAUUAAGAUCAGUGUGGUUUGUCAAUCGUAUUUUACAUUAUUUUUUAAACAUGUUUAAAGCAUUCAAUGGCAUAUGCUCUUUGAAAUAUUGACCAUUAUAAUACGCUUUUAGAAUUGAUUGUCCUUAGUUAUUUUCAACGCCAAUAAUUGCAAUACAUUUCGACGACGAUUCAACAUGUAUAAACUGCAAAUAUGCAAUAUAUACUGCUGUUUGAUCAUUUACUUUUAUGAAGCCUGAAACAAAAGACUACUCUUGCAACAAGGAGGUAAAUACUGUCCACCAUGAGGGUAACGUUGCUCUUCGCUUUCUUGGCCAUCGUUCUGACAGCCUCGUGCGUCCUCGGAUACCCAGACGAAUACGGCACAGGGGACAAAGACAUUCGCGGCAUGGAUGCCCAAGCAAACAGAGACGAAUAUGAUGGCGGAAUGAUAGACGAAUAUGACAGCAAGAUGGAUGGGAAAAUGGGAUUGGGUGAUGGAAGUGUGGGAAAAUAAUACUUCUGCUAUUGUAAAUUUUUGGGUUGCAAGCGCGGGUGGACCAACGUUGGCAAGUGCUCUAGGUUUUGCUUCAUCCACCCUCUCUGCCGAAAUCGAUGCUGCAGAUAUAUAAAGCAAUAACGAACAGGCAUGAUUCUGGACAUGCAGCCUAAAGGGCGGAUUUGACUGGCAAUACGUAUAAAACAAUAAAUUAUUUUGAUCUUUGCUGUCAAAACACACACAUAUAUAUAUAUAUAUAUA